GACGAACGCUGGCGGCGUGCUUAACACAUGCAAGUCGAACGGAAAGGCCCUGCUUUUGUGGGGUGCUCGAGUGGCGAACGGGUGAGUAACACGUGAGUAACCUGCCCUUGACUUUGGGAUAACUUCAGGAAACUGGGGCUAAUACCGGAUAGGAGCUCCGGCUGCAUGGUGGGGGUUGGAAAGUUUCGGCGGUUGGGGAUGGACUCGCGGCUUAUCAGCUUGUUGGUGGGGUAGUGGCUUACCAAGGCUUUGACGGGUAGCCGGCCUGAGAGGGUGACCGGCCACAUUGGGACUGAGAUACGGCCCAGACUCCUACGGGAGGCAGCAGUGGGGAAUAUUGCACAAUGGGCGGAAGCCUGAUGAAGAAACGCCGCGUGCGGGAUGACGGCCUUCGCGUUGUAAACCGCUUUCGCCUGUGACGAAGCGUGAGUGACGGUAAUGGGUAAAGAAGCACCGGCUAACUACGUG
rnacentral:rRNA from 1 species